GCAAAGACUGAGAAGAAGAGGAGUACGUUGUGCGUGCCGCAAGAGAGAAGCUUCAUUUGCUGAGAGAAGCUUUCGGAGAACAGCAGCGGAAGGUAGCUUCGGAGUCGGAGUGCCGAAGAGCGUAGGAGGUUCCUUCAGGAAUUCUGUUACGGCUUGCGUAAGCGUUCCCGGUUCAUCCCCGUUAAAAGAUUUUGAGGUGUAUGAGAGAUCGCUUCUGCGGAAGUCGCAGAGAGCUUUCAUAUAUGAAGCAAGGUGGUACCGCGACGAUGAUCGCCCUUUGC
rnacentral:ncRNA from 1 species